GAUGGCCGUCGCGGGGCUUCUGGUGGGCUUCGGCUCGGCGCUGGGCUCGGGCUGCACGUCCGGGCACGGCGUGUGCGGGCUCGCACGGCUCUCGCC
rnacentral:tRNA from 1 species